rnacentral:rRNA from 1 species
CCUACGGGAGGCAGCAGUGGGGAAUAUUGGGCAAUGGGCGCAAGCCUGACCCAGCAACGCCGCGUGAAGGAAGAAGGCUUUCGGGUUGUAAACUUCUUUUCUCAGGGACGAAGCAAGUGACGGUACCUGAGGAAUAAGCCACGGCUAACUACGUGCCAGCAGCCGCGGUAAUACGUAGGUGGCAAGCGUUAUUCGGAUUUACUGGGUGUAAAGGGCGUGUAGGCGGGAAAGCAAGUCAGAUGUGAAAACCAUGGGCUCAACCUGUGGCCUGCAUUUGAAACUGUUUUUCUUGAGUACUGGGGAGGCAGACGGAAUUCCUAGUGUAGCGGUGAAAUGCGUAGAUAUUAGGAGGAACACCAGUGGCGAAGGCGGUCUGCUGGACAGCAACUGACGCUGAGGCGCGAAAGCGUGGGGAGCAAACAGGAUUAGAUACCCCAGUAGUC